ensembl:miRNA
UGGUGCAAAAGUAAUUGCGGUUUUUGCCAUUAAAAGUAAUAACAAAAACUGCAAUUACUUUUGCACC